GGCCUCCGAGCCGGUAUGGUGAAGAUGGGCGGCCGAAAUCCGGCGGUGGGUAUGAGAGGAUGAAAGGGGCGGGUGAGGCGGAUCUGGUGGCGAUAGUGAAUCGGCCAAGAUCCAGUGGGAAUCGUCCGAGUUCUAGUGGAUGAUUCAUUCUGAAGUUGGAUACUUUUCGAAGGAUGAAGAUGACAUUUGAAGCACAAGCCAUGCUGCUCAGCAGCCAUCUUUUAUCCUUUUGGAAUCGGUAUUCGUCAUCAGAGUUUUUACUUUUUUUUGAAGGCAUGGAAGAUGAACAGAUACCACCAAGGUGACAAG
rnacentral:misc_RNA from 1 species